ACGGAAGGCAGCAGUGGGGAAUAUUGCACAAUGGGCGAAAGCCUGAUGCAGCGACGCCGCGUGAGCGAAGAAGUAUUUCGGUAUGUAAAGCUCUAUCAGCAGGGAAGAUAAUGACGGUACCUGACUAAGAAGCACCGGCUAAAUACGUGCCAGCAGCCGCGGUAAUACGUAUGGUGCAAGCGUUAUCCGGAUUUACUGGGUGUAAAGGGAGCGUAGGCGGUUUUACAAGUCUGAUGUGAAAGCCCGGGGCUCGACUCCGGUAUUGCAUUGGAAACUGUAGAACUAGAGUGUCGGAGGGGUAAGUGGAAUUCCUAGUGUAGCGGUGAAAUGCGUAGAUAUUAGGAGGAACACCAGUGGCGAAGGCGGCUUACUGGACGAUUACUGACGCUGAGGCUCGAAAGCGUGGGGAGCAAACAGGAUUAGAUACCCUGGUA
rnacentral:rRNA from 1 species